CCUGCUGUUCCGUCAGCAGUAGCCUACGGGCGCGUGCAUUACAAGCAAUUGUUUUGUACGAAGCCGCCCGGACAAAGUAGCCCGCCGCAAGGAAAGCGGAAGCCGUGAGGCAGACGCAAUUAUCGCCAGCAUCAGGCGGUUAGGGAG
rfam:Alistipes sp. An66 An66_contig_20, whole genome shotgun sequence.